rnacentral:lncRNA from 1 species
UGCACUGCUGAGAGAUUUAUCAUCUGAAACAAUUCCUUGUUUUUCUGUUUCUAAUGGCUGGUCUGCCAAAACCAAUGGGAAAAAAAAUGGGAAAAACUUUAACUUCUGGAUGAAAAUUUACCGUUUUGUUUGUAUGAACCCCCUGACUCCAUUCUCCACUAAAAGCACUUGGGUGUCGAUCUCAGAAAGUUGCUGGGUGAUUUUGGAAAUAAUCCCUUUUUCUGGAAAGCUGUUUACCCAGAUAAGCACCAUCCCUCUCCCUGCUGAAGCAGCAGCUGUUGUGGGAGACAGCUGAAGUGCAAACAGGCUCCUGCUCCAUCCAUCAGCCCGGCACGGGCCAGGCACAGACGCUUCACUUAAAGAACAACGUUUGCAGAAGAGGAGCUGGGCCACAAAUCAAUUCCCACUGGGAGGCAGGGGAUGGUUUGAACCGGAGCAGAGGUUUCCUGGAAUGAUCUUCUGGUGGGAUGAGGGGAUGAGAGCUGGAACAGAGGUCUCUGGGCAGCCAGAGCUCUUCCUAACGAUCUGUGCUGGAUGGAAAGAACCCCAAAGAGCUUUCUCUAUUGAAUUUCCAUCGUCUUCCCCAUCCCAUUUGCAUUUAAAGCCAGCUUUCAGCUGCUGUGCGUGGGACAAGACACAUUUCUGCUCAAUACCCAUCCAAUUCUGCCUGCUGUGGAUUCAGGCUGGUGGCACGGAUUGCUGCCGAUGCAGAUGGAGUUGCCUGAGAAUCCAGAGUUUCCUGGCCCUGGGAAAUCUUGCAGGGAAAUAACUGCAGCUCUGGUUGAGCCAACACCUGGCAGGGUGAGUGUGAUGUUGCUGAUUACUGACAAACAAAACGUCAAAAAUCUGGGAGGGUUGAGCCUUUCCCCUUUCAAAACCCCUCGAUUUUUGGCCCCCUCAUUAAUAAUCAUUCCCAAGAAAACUGAUCACAAGUAGCAAGAAACAUUUUGCUCUUUCAUAGCAUUUUAUUCCAAACAAUUGCAGUCAGGCUGUUUUUUUUUUUUUUUUUUUUUUUUUUAAAUUUAUUUUUAUUUUUAUUCUUUUAAGCAGAAAUUGAUUUACAUUUUAAAACAGCUGGAAAAGUCAGUUUGAAUUUGGAAAAAAAAGAAGAAUUAAAAUCCCUUUUGGAAAUGUCAGAGUGGCUGAAGAGGGAAGGCUGUGCCAGAUGAUGCUGAGAUGGCUAAAGCCUCUUUCAGUUUAGUCUUUACUAAACAGAUCAGCUGUGAGUUGGUGUCUGACACAAUUAACCCUGAGGAGGAGCAGGCUGGGAAGGGACAGAGGAGUUUGGAGCACACUCAGGCAUUUUCCAGCUCCAUCCCCAGGCACAUGGAGAGCCACUGAGAACAAUUUUGGAGCCAACACAGCGAUAUUUUAAAAGAUGACGGCGCAAAAAACGCGGAAAAGGACAGAAGCAACACCUGCCUUUGGGAGAGGAGAGGGAGGAGGAGGAGUUUGCCUCAAAAGAGGAGAGCACCUGGAAGAAGAGAGGAAAAAUCAGGCACAGCCAACAUGAAUUUGUAAAGACCAAAUUGGGUCAAAGCAAUCUAAUUUCCUGCAGUGACAGGGUGGCGGGGACAGUGCUGGGGGAGGAUGCAGGAGAUGUCAUCUGUCUUUACUUCAGGGAGGCUCUCCAAGCUGUCCCCCUGUGACAUUCUCCUCAGCACGCUGGGAAACAGCUUUAUCUGGCAAUUUGGCUGUACCUAGAGAGGGAUUAUCAAUGGCUCCCUGUCAGAAAGGAGGGAUGUGUCCAACAGGAGUCUCUCUUCAUCUGCUAUGAUUCAAUAUUCCAAUUAACCUCCCCAGUGAUGGAAGAGAGCAGACAUUUAUUAGAUCUACAGAGGGCUCACCCCAGGAAAGGCCAGUGGCACUUGGGAGGACACAAAACCAAAAUCAGAGCUGAGAGCCAGUGGUGGGAAUCAGGAGAAAGGGCCUGAGAUAUCCUACAAAGCUGGUGAAAUUCAGGCAGGGCCAAGCACAGCUCGACACAAACACCAGAUGGGCCACAACGGGCUGGGAAAAAGAUCCAGGGCUGGAUUUGAUGAGAAGUGGAACAGACUGUGGCAAUAAAAGGCAAAGGGUUGACGGCA